CAAAAAAUAUAUGCACCAUGCUAUACCACAAUAUACAAUCAUACCAUAUUAUACUAUAAUAUACAUCAUACCAUACCAUACCACAAAAUACAGCAUACCCUAUUCAGAAACAUUAUAGGACAUGUCAUACUAUACAUUGUAUCAUAUCUAAAAUUAUAUACCAUACUGUUCACAGGAAUUUACAAACACAGAUCAGGAAGAAAUAAAGAAUAAUUAUGCCCGGCGAACUAGAUAUGAUAUAAUGUAAAACAAAUAUAUGAAGAAAUCAAGUACAGUACAAAUUCAAUUGCAACACAAAUGCAAUAUAAGACAAAAUUAAAUACUGACUAAGAAAAUGAUUUAUCAGAAAAAUAUGAAAAGAAGAGAGAAUGACAGACUACUUAGCAUAUUGCAUCAUGUAAGCUGCAUGCUGUUCGACGCCGUGUGAGUGACCUUGCAUGGGUGACCUUGCGUGGGUGACCUUGCAUGCGUGACCUUGCAUGGGUGACCUUGCGUGGGUGACCUUGCAUGGGUGAUUCCAAAUAUACACCCCACGCCACGCUUGCACGCCCCGCCCAUCACUUGUCAGUGAUAUAAAGCGACCCAGCUUGACCUCUGUCUCAGAGACACUCAGACAGACUCUUCAUACGGUCAGACGUUGACCUGCCUCCCUACGUUACCACCGCCCACGUCACCUCCUUCUCCAGGGUGGGCGGCUGCUUCUCCAGGGUGGGCGGCUGCGGAUACCAGUCUCGUAUCGUGUUUAUUUCUACUUGUGUGUGUAACUCUCAGCAAUAAAGAGUUAAGCCGUAA